AGGGUCGUGAUGUAACAGUAAGCAUCUCCGCCUGUGACGCGGACUGUGCGGGUGCAACUCCCGUCGCCCUG
rnacentral:tRNA from 1 species